UCCACGCCGUAAACGAUGAUCACUCGUUGUUGGCGAUACACAGUCAGCGACCAAGCGAAAGUGAUAAGUGAUCCACCUGGGGAGUACGAUCGCAAGGUUGAAACUCAAAGGAAUUGACGGGGGCCCGCACAAGCGGUGGAGCAUGUGGUUUAAUUCGAUGAUACGCGAGGAACCUUACCUGGGCUCAAAUGUAUGUUGACGUAUGGUGAAAGCCAUAUUUCUUCGGACAAUAUACAAGGUGCUGCAUGGUUGUCGUCAGCUCGUGCCGUGAGGUGUCGGGUUAAGUCCCAUAACGAGCGCAACCCCUAUUCUUAGUUGCCAUCAGGUCAAGCUGGGGACUCUAAGAAAACUGCCUACGCAAGUAGUGAGGAAGGUGGGGAUGACGUCAAAUCAGCACGGCCCUUACGUCCAGGGCUACACAC
rnacentral:rRNA from 1 species